rnacentral:rRNA from 1 species
ACGGAGGAUCCGAGCGUUAUCCGGAAUCAUUGGGUUUAAAGGGUCCGUAGGCGGGCGUCUAAGUCAGUGGUGAAAUUCUGCAGCUCAACUGUAGAACUGCCAUUGAUACUGGUCGCCUUGAAUCGUUGUGAAGUGGCUAGAAUAUGUAGUGUAGCGGUGAAAUGCUUAGAUAUUACAUAGAAUACCGAUUGCGAAGGCAGGUCACUAACAACGCAUUGACGCUGAUGGACGAAAGCGUGGGGAGCGAACAGG